rnacentral:rRNA from 1 species
UUGGCGAUAUACUGUCAGCGGCCAAGCGAAAGUAUUAAGUGAUGCACCUGGGGAGUACGCCGGCAACGGUGAAACUCAAAGGAAUUGACGGGGGCCCGCACAAGCGGUGGAGCAUGUGGUUUAAUUCGAUGAUACGCGAGGAACCUUACCAGGGCUUAAAUGUAGUAUGACCGGCUUAGAAAUAGGCCUUCUCUUCGGAGCAGAUUACAAGGUGCUGCAUGGUUGUCGUCAGCUCGUGCCGUGAGGUGUUAGGUUAAGUCCUGCAACGAGCGCAACCCCUAUUCUUAGUUGCCAGCGGUUCGGCCGGGGACUCUAAGAAGACUGCCAGCGCAAGCUGAGAGGAAGGUGGGGAUGACGUCAAAUCAUCACGGCCCUUACGUCCUGGGCUACACACGUGCUACAAUGGUAGAGACAGAGGGCGGCCACCUGGUGACAGGGAGCGAAUCCUUAAACUCUAUCUCAGUUCGGAUCGAAGUCUGCAACUCGACUUCGUGAAGCUGGAAUCGCUAGUAAUCGCGCAUCAGCCAUGGCGCGGUGAAUACGUUCCCGGGCCUUGUACACACCGCCCGUCAAGCCAUGGAAGCUGGGGGCACCUGAAGUCGGUAACCGUAAGGAGCCGCCUAGGGUGAAACUGGUAACUAGGGCU